rnacentral:misc_RNA from 1 species
AAACGGGUCUAAGACCACGGUGGGAUUGCCCAAACCUUUUAAAAAUGAUAUCAUAACAGCUUUAAAUCUUUCCCUUAAUUUUUUAAGUUGAAUUUAAAGCGGUGCUGAGAAAAGUGAAAUUUGUGUUUUCUCUUUCGCAUAUAUUCUUAGUGAAGACGGAAUCUUUGUUGAAUUUUUUUUUUUGGUACUAUUUGUGAUGGUGAAUUGCUCGUGCCGGUGACAUCAUUCCUUCAGUUUGUUGAAUUUUGAAAGACUUUCUUAAAAUGUUGACAUCUUCCGGAAAUAUGCAGCAACCGCCAAAUUAUUACUACGACCCUCGUCUGCUGAGUGACCCGAGACAGAAUUUUCAUCACGAAAACUAUUAUCGUUACCCCUCGGGAUUUACCCACCACCCCGUUCUGCCUGAUUAUGUCAGUCACAGUGUGUCGUCUGCGAGUUGCACGUGCAAUCGACCGCCGGUUCAGGAGACAUUCCUGCAUCAGAUUUUGAUGGGGAAGGGGUACAAAAAUGAUUGUUUGUACGUGAACCGCCCAAUGAAACCCGAGAGUUAUCAUGACUAUACCUGUUGCUACUCACGGAAUCCAUAUUACCCCCCAUACUCUUAUUCUAACCACUAGUUAUAUCAGGUAAGGUAUUUUUUUUUCGGGGUGGGGGGGGGGGGUAAUUCUUAGAAAUUGCUAUAACGGUUUAAGUACCGUUUACUUCAGCACCCAAAGCCCUUCUUGGAUUUUAAUCUUUGUAUUUAUUUACUAGUAAAUUCGGUCUUAGCUCAUCAUGUAUACUGCAGUACAUGUAAUUUUGUUCAAGUGUUACAUUUGUAAGUGAAAGUAAAACAUCCAUGCUUUGUUUUGUCAUCUUCCCCACAGCAAGCUUCAUUGUAAGCUAUGGCUUCGAUAUUUGGUUGGAGACGUUUGAUGCUUUUUUUUCUAAAAAGGAUUGAUUAAUUAAAUGAUUACAACAUAGUUGACAUCUCUUUCACCGUAGACAUUUUUUUUUGGGGGGGGGGGGGUUAUACGACAUAUUAUCCGCAGCAUUGAAACAAAUACUAGUACAUGUAAAUACUUUUUACAUGUAGUAUAAACUAUAUUAUGGGAUCAACGAAUCGUUUUUUUCACAUUUUGUUUUCGUAUAUUUAUACAUUUUAACCCUGGAUUCAAAAUACUGUGGCUUUGUAAAGAGACGAUGAUAGCAAGGUUGCAUUCCAUUUUGUUUUCGUCUUGCAGUAUGGGAGUGGAAAUUGUGCAAGAUAAAAGUAAAAUAAUGAAUUCAAAUUUUUGUUCACGUGUUGCGCAUGAUGUAAAGAGUCACGAGGCAAAGGUCAAAGGUUGUAUUAAAAAAGGUCAAUAAUAAAAUAUUAUUCACAUUACAUAAAAUUUCAAGACAAAAACCCUAAUACUGGCAUAGUGUUUGAAGUACAAGUUUGUUUUUGAUUGGUACUAUCAACUAUUGUCCUUGUCCUUUACAAAAAUUUAGAUUGUUUUAUUAACAUUAUACAUGUAUGUACGUAACAGUUUCAAAUUUUUAUUUUAAAGAAGCUAAAUUUGUAUAUGAUGCUGUCAAAAUUCAGUUUUUAAUUGCAUGUUCAUGUAAAUUAACGGGAUUUUAGGACUGCUUUAAUUAAAAAAUAUGUUAUUAUUUUAUCGUUUACAGGGCUCCUUUCCGAGGACAGACUUCAGUUUUAAGGUCUACUUCCCGGCGUCUCGGCAGAUUGAGGACAGUAAAAUCGGGGACUGAAUCUUAUACAACAAUUAUGUUUAUUUAUUAUAUAGAAAAAAUGGUUUUAUAUGUGUACAUGUAUGAGUAAAAAUGUAUUUU